GCGUCUGGGAAGAUGCCUGUUACCAGGU
rnacentral:piRNA from 1 species